rnacentral:rRNA from 1 species
AUUGAACGCUGGCGGCAUGCUUUACACAUGCAAGUCGAACGGCAGCGCGGGCUUCGGCCUGGCGGCGAGUGGCGCACGGGUGAGUAAUGCAUCGGAACGUGCCCCGUAGUGGGGGAUAGCCCGGCGAAAGCCGGAUUAAUACCGCAUACGACCUGAGGGUGCAAGCGGGGGACCGAAAGGCCUCGCGCUAUUGGAGCGGCCGAUGUCGGAUUAGCUAGUUGGUGGGGUAAAGGCUUACCAAGGCGACGAUCCGUAGCUGGUCUGAGAGGACGACCAGCCACACUGGGACUGAGACACGGCCCAGACUCCUACGGGAGGCAGCAGUGGGGAAUGUUGGACAAUGGGGGCAACCCUGAUCCAGCCAUGCCGCGUGCGGGAAGAAGGCCUUCGGGUUGUAAACCGCUUUUGUUCGGGAAGAAAUCCUCUGGGCUAAUACCCCGGGGGGAUGACGGUACCGGAAGAAUAAGCACCGGCUAACUACGUG